GGCUCCAGAAAUAAGCACACACUAUACAUCCUGUUCCUCCACCCCUCAAGACAUAUUGUAAUGAAUACAGAAAACACAUGCUCCAGGAUAAUUUGUUAUCUCAUGCAGAGCCAUUAGCAUCAGCUUCCUUCCCUGGAUGGAGUCAAGUCAAGCUCAGAGACAAGUUUUCCAGGUUGCACAUGCCACAUGUCUCCUUGUUCCUUCCUUCCCUCUCCUCCCAUUAGGGACUAUCCUUCCUGCUUAUCAAGCCCAAGGAAAAAGAGCCAAACUUAGGAGGUCUCCUGAGAUACUGAUCUGCCUUCCUAUAAUGCAAAGCAGCUUAUUAGAGUCACUGGAACAACUCAAAAGCCAUAUAAAACCAACACAGAUUUCACUCAUUCCCAGCAGCACUACAGCACCUUGCAAUUCCUGGUAAUAAAAAGAUAACUGCACUGGCGGUAUGGAGCUUGGAAGUGCUCCAGCUUGACUCAGCUGAGGAACAGAGGGAUUUCUCAGGGCUCUCAUAGCUUACACCAGACACUGCAGGCACGAGGGAUGGAGGAGAAGGAUGGAAAUCACCUACUCUGAAAACCUCAGGGAUAAAUUUAUGAACAGACUCAUACGCUGUACACAACGAAACUGAGCUCUGACACACUGGUCAGCAGGCUUCCUGUCCUCUCUUUUUGCCAGAAGCUACAAAAACUGCUAAUCUCUCCCAGUUCCAGUUCAAGGGGCUGCUGGCUCUCUUGUGCAGGCAGAGCAGGCUCAGUGCUUUCAGCUUUUGAGGUCACUAAAUCAAGCCAGUGGCCAAUACAAAUUACAACAAAAAUUUCCAAACCUGGACCGUUCUUUUUGUGAGUUGGUUUUAUUCCCAGCACAGGAAAAUCCUUCCUAAUACAGGGAAGCUCCUGGCAAAAUCAGAGUGGCUGGUAACAAUUUGCAUCCUUCCUGUCUCAGACCCGAGUCCAAAGCCCACCAGUGGUGGUGGGAAGCCCCACUGACUUCACCAGGCUUUGGCACGAAGCCUCAGCACAAAGAGCUGAUGGGGAUGAAGUUUUGGAAGCAUGGAGGUGGCUAACACAUCCCAGAACUUGACAAAGCACUUGGAGCAUUUGCAUACAAAUGCUCUUUGCUUGUUUAUUGCUUCAUCUGCUGCUUGUAAGUCUUUUUAACACACCCUCUAAUUCUGUUAUUACAAAAAAGAGUGCAUGCAAAUAACUGCCUUAAGUGAACUCAAGCAGAGAACAAUCCAUUAACCACUGUCCCUGUAUUACAAAAAGUGUUAGAAACCCUGAAUAAGGAACGGUGGUUUGAGGGGAAACCCUCAGUAUUCAGGCAACUGCUGCAAACACACAGCCCUGAGUUACAUGAGCUGGAAGGCAGAAUUAAAAAUGCAAAUGUUCAUAUUAAAACAAACUGUUAAUUAAGAGCAGGCUUCAUUAUAGAGAUUAUGCAUCUUUAGAGACUCCACCAGACAUGCACACUUCCAUCACAAACCAGGAAGAUAUAGAGAAAUACUCCCAGGCUGAGCCCGUUGGCUUCUUGUCCUUCCUGACCCUAAAAGGACCAUUACACAUCUGGGAUGUUUCGCCUGGAGAACUCGGGGUCAGCUUUCGUGGAGAGCCAUGAGAAAGGAGCAGCUGUGGCAGGGCCAGGUGACACUGUGCCCUGUCCCCUGCCUGGAGAGGACCCAGCGCCAAUUCCCAGGCCUCCAACGGGCCCUGUGGGCUAUCCAGCAAAAACAACUCGCUCCAAAAAUACCAGAAGUGACCCUGUUCAAGGAUUAUCUGCAAAAUCUCCCCCGCUCCUUGUAUUUUUAAUGAAAUUAAAGUAUUUUCAAUAGUACAAAUGUCAGGGUUUGGGCCAGACAAACAAGUUACAGAGACCGAGUGCUGAGUUUCAUGGAUGCAGAUUGGCAUAAAAUUAGGAAAAAAGUGCAGAAGUCACUUGUCAGAUUUUAACCCUGGAGAAAUAAACUCAAAAGCUGAUGUAAGGAAAAAGUAUUUCUCAAGGCAUGGCCUCAUAUAAUUUCCAUUAUUUGCCUUCUUAUUGCCACCUGUUAUUUUGAGAAUGGUUUAAAUAAAAGAAACAUAGAACCAGAUUUAUCAUACAUUAUAUUUUUGCUCUAAAUAUGGCUCUAAAAAUGGCUUUUAAAAACAUACAGUUAACUCAGUGUAGAGAAACUUGAUUUACUGAAAUAACUUGACAGCCUGAACCCUAAGAGAUUUCUCCAAAUUUCAGAGAUUGCCCUGCUGUUGAACAUUGGGUCCAACACCUCCAUACUCAAGCCCAGAAGCAGGUGGACACCUUUAAAGACACAUUAGGCUGGCCUUUACAACUUGUGUUUCAUGACAAUCAAUCCAAAAGGAAAAAAUUAAGAUUUGCCACGUUUUUCUGAGUUGUAUUAAAAUCUGUCAGUAUCAGCGACAGUUGAGCAGAAUGAAUUAGAGAGAUCAAAAUUUGAAUAACUGAAUUCAGAACAACACUUGAAAAUCUGAUGGCAACUCAAACAUUAACUUUUGAGAAGGGCAACUAGAGUCUCUUUUGGCAUGAAGAGCCCACUGGUGCAAUGUCAGAUGCACCUACUCUACACCCACAAUGCAGCAAUAAAACCGCUGUUCUUGUUUGCAGCACCCUGCAUGCCAAGAACAGAGAAUGACCAUUUUGCUCUUGAAACACAGGUACAGGACUAAGAACAGGCAUGUUCUCAUCUCUGUAUCUGAUGAAGACUUGUUUCAAAGAAGAGAAAAGAAGUCUUUCUUCUGAAUGCAUAUGAUCAUCAUUGAACACGCUGCCAAAACUGAAGGCUGAAUACAAAUUCUUACUUAGAAGAACAUUAGAAAUUUGUAAAGGCACAGGGAAAUAAGUCAUUUCAUUCAGCCAGUUCCCUCCCCUCUCACCUCCAAAUAGAAAAAAAGUAGAUUUGUGCUGGCUUUUUUUUGAGAUUAGCUAACAGUAAUUUUUCCUUGUAUGUAAGAGAUUUUUACUAUUAUGGCUAUUGAAGAUUUGGAUUCCACAGCAAACCCCCAAGAAUGAGUAAUGGUCUCAUUUUCCAUCUGUAAUACUGAGCAAGAGCCAAGGGCAACCCACUGACACUGGAGGAUUUGGACCAUGAGUUUUGGUUUUGCCUCCUGCUCUUGUCAAAGGCCACUGCUGAAAGCCUCCUAACAGGACUUUAUAAAAGUGGCUUUUCAAGGUUCAAUAGAAAUUCAAAUGAACUUAUUUCCUUUGUCAUGGAUUUCUGAGUCAUCUUUUCCAAGGGAGGGGAGAGGAAAUAUAAUCAGAAAAGGGAAUUAUUCCUAUUUUACAAGAGGGAGCAGAUCUACCGUAGUCAUCCUUUAUCUUGUCAUCUUCCUGACCACAGUAUUGUGAAAAGCCCACAAGCAGAAAUGGCAACAAACAUCAAUGAAAUACUGUGCUCUUUAUAUCAUUAAGUCCUGCCAUGAGGAGGAAGGGAACCCAUGGCAUCUUUCAACCCUGCCUUUGUUACUUACACCACGCCUUCUGCAAGGCACAGUACACAAAAUGUUAUGCAAAACCAAGCCAUUACUGGUAGCUUAGCAAGAAGCAUUCAUUACAGUUCAGAAAACUUUCAUUUCAGUACAUCCUUGUUGACUGAGCUGACAAAAUCUGAAAAAAUCUGUCACAAGGCCAGAGCUGUCCUGAGGUGGGGGCAUCCAUCAGUCCUGCUCCCCUUUCCUACCAACUUCUUCACUGGAGUACACCAUAAUUGCCAAGAACAGAAAGCUGGAAGCAUGGGGAGAUGGGCAGAACUGGGGGAAGGUUGUACCUAGCCCUGGGUCCUACCAACAAGCCAAAAUGUGGUUACACCAAAGGGUGAAGCCACAACCUCCAAAACAUGCUGGUGCCCCUCUGCAACAGGUGGUGAAGCUGCUCUGUGCUGAAAUAGGGGUUAUGGUCACAGCUUUUGAACUCUUCCUUUUAAGAAACAUUUUAUGGGAAACUGUGUUUAUGGGAGCUGGCUAUCAUUACACCAGAUCUCGGAAAAGCACAGUGCUUUCUAGUGAAAGCUUAAGCAAACAACCAAACCCCCAAAGCCCCCCUUUUUCCAGUAACUGAAAGGAAGACCCAUUUAAAUUUCUAGUCUGCACAUUUCCUUCAUUUUCCAUCUAAAACAAAGAGCAUUAAGACACAAGGGUGUCAAGUGGUAUGAAUCAUCUUUAAAGCAUUCAGUUUAAUUAGACAAGGAUAAGGAGGUUUAAACAAAGUCACUGAAAUCUAAUUCUCUGUAUGAACUCCUAUCAUACAGCAGACGAUUGAAAUCAGUAAAAGUGAAAAAGUAAGGGUUUAGCUGAGCUUAUUUGUUACAGCCACUCUUGAAUAAAGUGGUUUUUAUGGCCGUGAACCUCCGUGGGAGCAGAAGUCAAGGUCUCAGUGACAAUCCAUCAUGUUGGGGAAGAACCCUACUGUAACCUCACAUCUGUGCGUGGCAGGAAUAAGAGGCAGCUGUGAGUAGCUACUCUGAGAAUAAAUCCUACUCAAAACCCAUGACAUAUCCAUGCUGGGGUAUGUUCUGGUAAGGCAGAUGAGUCAAGGGAACUUCACGAAGUGUCAGCUCAUCUCCUGCCUUGGGAACAGAUGCCACCACCCCAACAGGGACAGCCAGCUGUGGAGCCAGAUUUCAUUUACACACUACAAUAAAAGCCCAAAGUUUCUUAAUAGUACACAAAACAGGCAGUCAAGGUUUCAAUUCCAAGUAGAUUUUUUUUUUUGGAUGCAGAAUAGUUGACUUUGCUGAUUCUGUAAUAGUUUUGGGAAAAGGAGAAGAGAGAGGACAUGGAUGGAAACUCUUAAGAGACAUGAGGCUUGAAGCUCUGCAUUUUCCUCUGCAUGACAGAAAAAGACAGCACCUAACUGCUACCUCAAUUCAGUAUCAGUCCAGAUUUGUUUCAACAAGAGAGUUUCCUCCAGCACCAUCUCUAAGCAUGACUCUGAUGCAAGGAAGAAUUUAAUGCAAUUAGAGCAACCACUGAGGUUUCUGCCAACAGGGGCACUGCUGCUUGGAGCACUUUAUGGUCUCUUGACCCUGAAGAUAAGGGGGGAACAAGAACCCAAACAAACACCCCAAAUCAAAGUCCACACAUUUUUUGUGUUCCUCUCUGGGCAACCAAGUGGCACUGCUUGUUACUUCACAACCAAGAGAAUCCUCCAGAGAAGAGUCUAGAGUGCCUUAUCAGAAUCAAAAAAGCCUCAGGGAAGACCUGGUGGGUCUGUUCCAGUAAAGAGUGUGGCAUAAGAGGUGACAGCAGCAAAACCAGAGCGGGGAGCAAAGGAAUCUCCAAGUCUGAUUUUAAAGAGGAAGUCUGAAUAGGAAUCAUUUACUACCCCCACGAUUAUACAAGAAAAUGAUAUCAUCAGCAAGAUGAAAGACUGUACAGAGAGACAGCAACAUUCAUUACUUCUCAGCUGAAAUCAGGACUCAACCUGGAAACAAAAGCUUCAGCUCCUCUGCGGUUGGGUAAUUAAACACAGAAGGGGCUGGAGAGAAAAGGCUUUUCAUUCACUGUCAUACAGACCUUAAAGGUGCAUUCAAACUUCUUUCUUGAAGCUGAACUUUCAUCCAGCUACCAGGAUAAAGUAUUUGGCUCAAGUAGGUGGAAGUCUGAACUUCCAUCACCCACUGAAGAAACAGGACUUGUCCACAUGGAGGCCAACACUCCUGUAAUACUUUGGGCUGUUAAGUGUUAGGGUCAUUCCUGUUUUUUGGAGGUUUAGAGCAACAUUUUUGUCUGUCCAGCAGCCUUACCCACAGCAGAAAGGCCUGGGGAGGUGAAUUGUGGCACUUUUACCAGAGGAAAGAGCUAUUCCAACUCACUGGUGAGGUAGAGUUGUGACUGAGCCACAGGCAAAGCCUCUUUGUAGUGCAACACACAAAGUAUUACACAGUCCAGAUGUAGCUCUUAACAAUGACAACCAAAUUCUCACUGGAGGGAUAGUUUUGCAUGGCAUAAUUCACUACAAGUGAAAACUAUGCGAGCCAAGAGAAAGAUAUAAUCUAAUUAUUUCUGGUUUCUCAGGGCUGAAGGUGAGAGGGAAAUUUAAAAGCAAACAAAGCUGCAUUGCUCAACAUGGAAUGCUGCAAUAUAAAGAAGUGAAAAUUAAGGCCCUGCACAAAACAUGUCAAUUUUCGAUAGAUAUGGCACUAACAUAUAUUAAUAUUUCUGACAAGCCAAGAAUGUCAGAUUUCUAAGCACAAUAUGAAUCACAUUAGAAUUAAGAACAGCUGAGCCUGCACAACAGAUUAUACAAGUAUUUAUGAAGCACAGGAAAUACUCAAAGCCAGCAAGUUCAGCUGUAUACCAAUAUAACUAAUAGCUCAAUGUAUCUGGUAAAAAGCCACUUUAUUGACAAGAUAACUAUAUAUUAACAAAAUACUGGAUAAAAUAUUGAACAUCUGGGUAAAACACAGGGGGCAUUAAAAAUGCCCUUUAAAAGAAGGAGUCUGUUCUCAUUCAAAGUUCUUCUCUAACCAAGAAUGAAGGAAGAUCAAUGAAUCAUGAAAGCAAUUCAAGUUGAGCAAAGAAGAACUUUGGUAAAUUUCAAAAAAUUCUGGCAAAAUGGCUUGAGGAAAAAAACAAUCAGUGUACCCAAGCUCGGGAAGAAGAAAACACAAACCACAAGAUUCAAUUUGCAGCACAGAAGAUCUGAAGCUAUUUAUCAGAUAAGACUGAAACUGCCCUACCUGGACACCUUUCAAAGAACUCUUAUUUGGAAUCAUUAAAGUGUUUUUUACUAUUGGCUGAAAACAACUGAUGAGGUUCCUAAAACAGCCCCUUAAUUUAAUUUACUUGGACACGAACAAAUUAAAAGCAGAGUUACAGGAUAUAGUACUAACAAUGCAGAUAUGUCACUGUAACAUUUUUUGUGCUCUUAAUCAGUUUGAUUCAUUAAAAUAGUAACUGGUUGUGAUGUGAACGAACUUUGCUAAGUGUUAGAGUCUUAAAAAAACAUAAGAUAAAUCAGUGAUCUGGAAUGAAACACUGGAAUUGAAGUCAAUGAAAACGCAGGGUAAGAUAUUUUGGUUUUAUGAAAAAAAUAUUGAGUCUUUAGCCAAGACAGCAAAGUCCCGAGCAGUAUUACAAAAACUGACACCACAUUAGAAUUUCUCACUUAGACACCUUUCAAUCCACCUGCUAGGAUGGUCUCCUCUGGAGCAAGGAAUAUCUCAUUCCCCCUCCUCCUCAAGUGAGGUGUGGAACACAAGUUGUGAAGAAGGAGACAAAAUCAGCACUGAUACCAAAGACAAGAGCUGGAAGGAGGAGGGUGCCCACAGAGUCACAGACUGGUUUGGGUUGGCAGGGACCUCAGAGUUCAUCUCAUUCCAGCCCCUGCCAUGGGCAGGAACACCUUCCACUACCCCAGGCUGCUCCAAAGCCAUCCAGCCUGGCCUUGAGCACCUCUACGGGUGUGGCACCCAAACACAAACACACAGGAGCUCAAGGCAAGGUGCUCAGGGAACCAGAAGAGGUUUGGCUUAAUUUUCUCAGGUGGAUUAC
ensembl:lncRNA